ensembl:lncRNA
UGUGAUCUUCCUGUCUGGGUUGGCGCCCCCCUUGGGUUGUGCCGUGGCGGAGAUCUUUGUGGGCUAUACUCGGCCUUGUCUCAGGGUGGUAAGUUGGUGGUUGAAGAUAUUCCUCUAGUGGUGUGGGGGCUGUGCUUUGGCAAAGUGGGUGGGGUUAUAUCCUGCCUAUUUGGCCCUGUCCGGGGGGUAUCAUCGGAUGGGGCCACAGUGUCUCCUGACCCCUCCUGUCUCAGCCUCCAGUAUUUAUGCUGCAGUAGUUUAUGUGUCGGGGGGGCUAGAGUCAGUUUGUUAUAUCUGGAGUACUUCUCCUGUCUUAUCCGGUGUCAUGUGUGAAUUUAAGUAUGCUCUCUCUAAUUCUCUCUUUCUUUCUCUCUCUCGGAGGACCUGAGCCCUUGGACCAUGCCUGAGGACUACCUGGCAUGAUGACUCCUUGCUGUCCCCAGUCCACCUGGCCGUGCUGCUGCUCCAGUUUCAAAUGUUCUACCUGCGGUCUCCAAGACUGAGGAAGAGCUUCAGGAGAUCCUGAUCCGAAAAGAGGCGCAGAUGAAAGAAAAGCAGGAACGGAAGAAAAACAAGAGCAGGAUGUUUCCCAAAAGAAAGCGUUACGGGAGGAGAACAAGAAAAGAAGCAUGGCAGGCAUCAAGAGGAAGCGCCAGGAGGAGGAAGAGCAUGACCCUGAAGUGGAGGAUCCCGGGAACCAGGAUAACAGGCCCCCGGUUGUUGAAUCUGACGACGAGGCAGAGUACUACAGACAGGUUGUUUUGUUGUACUAUAUUUUUGUGCUACUUUGGAAGACAAAAUCACCUUCUAUAUGUAUUUUUCUCCCUCCCAUCUAGAUAUGUUCCCUGCAGCCAAGAGGAGGCAAAGACCUGAAAGGCCCUCAGGAGGACCCUUCAAGAAGAGGAAACCGUUCUCUGGCGAAGACCGGAAAAACAAAUAUGGUUCCAAGUCACCUCAUCGGUCUGGUCCGAGAGGGAAACCCAGAGACCGAAUGGGGGGUGACGUGGACAGGAAAGAGGGAAAGAGAUUUGGGGAUGGGGGCAAAUCUUUUGGAAAGAUGUCACCGGGGGGCAAGAGGUUUGGAGGAAGGAAAUUUGGGGAUGAGGCAAAUGUUUGGAGGACAGAAGAAUGUAUUCCUUCAUGAAAGGACCUUGGUAUCGCCACUAGUCAGCUGGAGGACUGGAUGAAAAUGCAAUGAUGUAAUUUUG